GGAGAAGGACAGGUGAUCGCCGCCCGCCCGUUAGGGGCGGGGGGAGGAAAGUCCGGGCUCCGCAGGGCAGGAUGGUUCCUAACGGGAACCGGGGGCAACCCUAGGGAUAGUGCCACAGAGAGCAGACCGCCCACCCAGGCUUCGGCUUAGGUGGGUAAGGGUGAAAGGGUGAGGUAAGAGCUCACCAGUGCCGGUGGCGACAUCGGCAGCUCGGUAAACCCCAUCCGGAGCAAGGCCGAAUAGAGGAGCGUUUGAGGGCGGCCCGUCCGAAGCUCCCGGGUUAGGCUGCUUGAGGCCGUCGGCGACGGCGGCCCUAGAGGAAUGAUCACCGCCCCGCGGGGGGUAACCGCCGUGGGGAACAGAACCCGGCUUACGGCCUUCUUCGGCC
rnacentral:RNase_P_RNA from 1 species